rnacentral:rRNA from 1 species
CCUACGGGUGGCAGCAGUGAGGAAUAUUGGUCAAUGGCCGGAAGGCUGAACCAGCCAAGUCGCGUGAGGGACGACUGCCCUAUGGGUUGUAAACCUCUUUUAUAAGGGAAGAAUAAAUGCUACGUGUAGCAUGAUGCCUGUACCUUAUGAAUAAGCAUCGGCUAACUCCGUGCCAGCAGCCGCGGUAAUACGGGGGAUGCAAGCGUUAUCCGGAUUUAUUGGGUUUAAAGGGUGCGUAGGCUGUGAGGUAAGUCAGCGGUGAAAUGCCCCCGCUCAACGGGGUGAAGUGCCAUUGAUACUGCCUUGCUGGAAUGCGGAUGCCGUGGGAGGAAUGUGUGGUGUAGCGGUGAAAUGCAUAGAUAUCACACAGAACACCGAUUGCGAAGGCAUCUCACGAAUCCGCGAUUGACGCUGAUGCACGAAAGCGUGGGUAUCAAACAGGAUUAGAUACCCUGGUAGUC